rnacentral:rRNA from 1 species
ACGAACUGUGCGAACGUUAUUCGGAAUUACUGGGCUUAAAGAGUUCGUAGGCGGACUAGUAAGUCGGGUGUGAAAUCCCACAGCUCAACUGUGGAACUGCGCCCGAUACUGUUAGUCUUGAGGGAGGUAGAGGAAAGCGGAACAGAUGGUGGAGCGGUGAAAUGCGUUGAUAUCAUCUGGAACACCGGUGGCGAAAGCGGCUUUCUGGAUCUCUUCUGACGCUGAGGAACGAAAGCUAGGGGAGCGAACGGG